AACGAACGCUGGCGGCGUGCCUAACACAUGCAAGUCGAAUGCGACUUUCCGCUUCGGUGGAGGGGAGCAUGGCAGACGGGUGAGGAACCCGUAUCUAACCUGCCACGGGAUGGGGGAUAGUCCUGCGAAAGCGGGGGUAAUACCGCAUACGCUCGGUUGGGGCAACCUGGCUGAGGAAAGCUGGCCUCUAGAUUAUGCUGGCGUCCGGUGAGGGGGAUGCGUCCUAUUAGUUAGUUGGUGGGGUAAUGGCUUACCAAGACGACGAUGGGUAGCUGGUCUGAGAGGAUGAUCAGCCACACUGGAACUGCGACACGGUCCAGACUCCUACGGGUGGCUG
rnacentral:rRNA from 1 species